GCCUGUAGCUCAGUAGCAGAGCAUCUGCUUUGCAUGCAGAAGGUCCCAGGUUCAGCCCCAAAUGGCAUCUCCAGGUAGGGCU